GUGUGGUCGAAUUUUUUCAGGCUACGCCCUUGCAAAAAAAGUAAAAAUUACGGCGCAGCUACGGUUUCCCUGGUGUUGGCGCAGUAUUCGCGCACCCCGGUUAAUCC
rnacentral:sRNA from 1 species